GACAGAGGCCUCAAGCGUUAGGCGGAAUCACUGGGCUUAAAGCGUGUGUAGGCGGAUCGUUAAGUGUCUUGUGAAAUCCCUCGGCUUGAACCGAGGAACUCGCCCUCCAAACUGCCUUGGCUUGAGACCGGGAGAGGUGGAGUGGAAUUCCCGAGUGUAGCGGUGAAAUGCGUAGAUAUUGGGGAGGAACACCCAGUGGCGAAGGCGGCUCACUGGACCGGUACUGACGCGUGAUGCGCGAAAGCGUGGGGAGCGAACGAGG
rnacentral:rRNA from 1 species